GACGAAGAACGUAGCGAAAUGCGAUAAGUAAUGUGAAUUGCAGAAUUCAGUGAAUCAUCGAAUCUUUGAACGCACAUUGCGCCCGCUGGUAUUCCGGCGGGCAUGCCUGUUCGAGCGUCAUUUCAACCCUCAAGCCCCCGGGUUUGGUGUUGGGGAUCGGCUCUGCCUUCUGGCGGUGCCGCCCCCGAAAUACAUUGGCGGUCUCGCUGCAGCCUCCAUUGCGUAGUAGCUAACACCUCGCAACUGGAACGCGGCGCGGCCAUGCCGUAAAACCCCAACUUCUGAAUGUUGACCUCGGAUCAGGUAGGAAUACCCGCUGAACUUAAGCAUAUCAAUAAGCGGAGGA
rnacentral:misc_RNA from 1 species